rnacentral:rRNA from 1 species
GGAGGGUGCAAGCGUUGUUCGGAAUUACUGGGCGUAAAGAGCGUGUAGGUGGUUUUCCAAGUCACGUGUGAAAGCCCUCGGCUUAACCGAGGAAGUGCGCGUGAAACUGGUUUACUUGAGUACGGGAGAGGAGGGCAGAAUUCCUAGUGUAGAGGUGAAAUUCGUAGAUAUUAGGAGGAAUACCUGAGGCGAAGGCGGUUCUCUAGACCGAUACUGACACUGAGACGCGAAAGCGUGGGGAGCAAACAGGAUUAGAUACCCUGGGUAGUCCACGCCGUAAACGAUGGAUACUAGAUGUCGGCCCCGUUAGGGUCGGUGUCGUCGCUAACGCAUUAAGUAUCCCGCCUGGGGAGUACGGCCGCAGGUUA